GCACCAUCAUCCUGCUGAAAGACUACCUUGUCUCUGACACAUCCUAUUUCAAGAUCAGUCAAGACAAAAUGGAAAACCUAAUGAAGUUGUGUCUCUUUCUGCUCAGCAUAGAAAUUGCUGUAGCUCUCCAAUGUAUACAAUGUCGUGGCUACCAUGAUAAAAUCUGUGAACAUAAGGUGGAAACAUGCACAGCUGGAAAAGGUGAAGUUUGUAUGAUCCGUAGAUUCUGGACUUGGCCAUACAAUAUAAGUUACCCACUGAAUGCAGAGUCCAGUUGCAUGAAAAAUUGUCGGGAAAAUAAUGAAUAUACUGUUGAUGGAAAAAAACUGACACUCUGCUGUGAUUAUUAUGAUUUUUGCAAUGAACUCAAGUGGCCAAUUGCGAUACCCUAAUUUGAGAAAUCUUCAGGAACUGCUGUCCCCAAACUCCUUACCUUCUAAUUUUAUCUCUGCUUCCACCUCAAAUUCCCAUUUGUUGUGGACAAGAGGCUUUCUGAAAUAUUAGGAAUGUAGGAGUCAUGGAAUCUGGGGGAAGAAACUUCCUCAACCUUAUGAUUGUCUAUAAUCCUACAGCUCACUUCUUAUGCAUGGCAUUUUCUCCUUAAUCAACCUGAACAUAUUGUCUCUUGGUUUUAAACAGUGCUUUUAUUAGACUUUCCCACCCUAGACAAUGAGGCUUGUCCAAUAAAGACUUGGAAUGACUGUAGUAUUUCAUGAUCAUGAAAGAAGACAUCUGGAGGACCUUCUCACCAUGAACAGAAGCAGGUCUGAAAAUCACAGAUACUAGGUCAGAGCUCCAAGAUUCAUCCAAGGAAGAAACACUGCACCAAUUGUUUGUUGUAGUAUCUUUGUUAGGAAGUAAUUCACUAAAUGUUUAAUUUGGUUUGUGAGGGAUGAUCUUUUCUGAGCCAUUUUGAAUGCUGGUUGAUAAUAAUGUUGAUUCUAACCCGUGUUAGCAAGAUCCUACACAACAGUGUAGCCCUUUGAUCCUCCUUUAUUUGUAAGUACUGAUUUCCUUUCCUAGCCCCUUCUGUCUUCCUUAGGGAUCAUAUUUCCAUCUCAUUGAGAUGAUAUGUUCUCAGUGCCCCACACCAUGUUGACUAGCUUUUCUUUUUCAUGUAUAUGAUAUAUGCAGAGACCAGUGAGUUUUCCAUCACCUCUUUAAUCGGAACAUGAUUUGUUUAAAAUAUAUUUGUUAGAGUAGGAACAUAUUUCCCCUUCAUAAUAUGGAACAGAAUAUUGUAAGCAUUAUACAAGAAGGGAGAACAUGGUUGUUGAAAAUGAACUCUUUUCAGAAGAUAAUUAACUAUAACAAAGAGAUAAACUAGAGCAAAUUUAUUUGAUAUUUAAAGCUCUGUGUUCAUUUCUUUCUUCGAAGUGAAGCCAGAAUUGGGGAUAGGCAGUUAGUGUAGAAAUAGAGAAUCGGGUCAAAUGGAGGAAAUGGAG